rnacentral:rRNA from 1 species
AGGAUAAACGCUGGCGGCGUGCAUGAGACAUGCAAGUCGAACGGACGAUCAGGGCUUGCUCUGAUCGUUAGUGGCGGACGGCUGAGUAACGCGUAGGUGACCUGCCCCGAAGUGGGGGAUAACUGCCCGAAAGGGUGGCUAAUACCGCAUGUGGUGGUUCGUUCAUUCGACCCAUCAAAGCAGUAAUGCGCUUCGGGAGGGGCCUGCGUCCGAUUAGCUCGUUGGUGGGUAACGGCUCACCAAGGCGACGAUCGGUAGGUGGUCUGAGAGGACGAUCACCCAGACUGGGACUGAGACACGGCCCAGACUCCUACGGGAGCAGCAGUGGGAAUUGUUCGCAAUGGGCGCAAGCCUGACGACGCAACGCCGCGUGGGGAUGAAGGUCUUCGGAUCGUAAACCCUGUCGAAUGGACGAAUAGCUUCCGGAUCAAUACCCCGAGAAUGACGUACCGUUAAAGAGCCACGGCUAACUCUGUGCCAGCAGCCGCGGUAAUC